rnacentral:tRNA from 1 species
CCCGGCAUAGCCAAGCGGUUAAGGCAGCGCUUUCAUACGGCGCCACCGGUUGUUCGAAUCAACCUGCCGGGACCA